UGGAAAUGGAAACGUAAACACAACAGUACAGGCACAGGCAAAGAAGGGGGUGUGGUGCUUUCUCGUUCCUUAUUGGUAGAGAGAAUACAAGCUCUCUAAUUAUUGGUUGAAAAAUAUCAACUGCCGCAUUGAGUUUCCUAAUUGGCUGGAAAUAAAAUCAUUGCGUCAGACGCGUCAUUGAUCAUGAAAAACGUGAAAACCACGUUGUGCGUUGCCUGUGUGCGCGUGCGCCAGACGUCUGAAUCCACUACAUACUUCUGCUUCUGCCUUCUGGUUCGUUUUGCAAACUCAACUCCCAACUCGCACCCGCGUAUUUCUGACCUUCCUCAACUCUAGCGACUAACGUGACCUACAGCGUAGAACAAUGAACAUAUUCGCGAGAGAUACUCUUAAACGUAAGAUUUCCGGCAGCUCUUCCGAGACAAAAUCGGAAGUAAAACCGGAAAAAUUAUUCUACAACUGCCCGUCAUACUUAAACAGAGACAGGACAUUAUUGACCCGUCGAGCUAAGUUCCAAAUGCGUACCCUUCAAGAGAAGACUGCGGAGGCUGAGAAGCUGAUUAACAGCGAAGAAAUAACAAAGGAGGACCUGGCCUCUGCAGUUCAAGCUAUUCAGCAACUGAAAGAAGAUUCCUCCAACAUUUUGUGUUCCAACGUUCAUAUUGAUAGCUACAGAACAAAGCUCUCUGAAUUGAAAGUCAGAGCUGAUCAGCGGAUGUUUCAGUUACUAGGGGCUGAUCUCGCUGAGCGAUGUUUUGCCGAGCUCUUGGAAAAUAAAAAAACGGCUGACUUCAACAAACCGGAAGAAAAGAACUCAUACAUAAAUUGCGCAACCUUGCGGGCUCUAUCUCUUACAAAACUGAAAUUUUGUUCCCAUAAAAGUAAAUUGGGCUGUAAAACUUCAAUCUACAAAUCUACACGAAGGUGAGGAAUCUAACACAGUUUGCCGUUGGCAUAAAUACGAACGUAGGGAGACAAAAAUACGGAACAGCGUUUGAAAAUGAGGAGUAUUAGAAUCAAUGAAAUGUUUGGCAUGGUACGUUUAUUCAGCACGAGAAACUCCCAAAAUUGCCAGACAAAAGAACAAUCUUGUGCCCACUUAACACUCAAGAAAGAUUAUCUUUAUUAUUUUUUUGUACUCAUGCCGCAUUCCGAAAUUUUACUUGAACUAAUUUUGGAAUGGUAUUCCCGAACUGUGAAACGAUCAAAUUCAAUCAACCAUCGGAUCUGAUUGAUGUAAAUUUGAUUAAUAUUUUAAAUGUGCAAUAUAAUACAAUUUUUCUAUGUACUCAUAAUCAAUAUUUGCAAUACUAUUUCAUAUUAAUCUUUACUUAAAUAAAUUAUGCUUAAGUAUCGAGUGAUUUUAACUCGGUUAUUUAGAUGCUAAAUUAAAUUUAAUAUUCCAAUUUUAUCUGCUCAAAAAAUGUUACCUAGAGCGAUGAGAAAUUAUUUUGAAAAGAUCAAAUCAAAUUUGAGAAGGAUAUUUUUGGAUUGGCUUGUGCGGACAAGAAGUGAAAUUCAAAAUUGAGUAAGGUGUUAGGAGUAUUUUUACCAAGGCUCUAUUUUACCUAGCCUGAUCAGACUAAUCACAUUUUGAUCCUUGUCAUUGUAAUCUCGACAAAUUUCAUUUUCCCUUAUUGAAUGGAUAAAACAUGCAAUAAUAUACUUUAAAUUAUCAGAGUUGGUGAUAAAGUUCCUAUAACUUAAGCUUCCUAAACACAAAAUUAGGGAUACAAACUUAAAUAGAUAGUUAAAUUUCUAAUUCUCCUGUUAAUUGAACUUGAGAGUGAUAAUGAUACUGAAUAUUUUUUAAUUGAAAUCGAACUCGGGCUAUAAUUAAUAUGAUUAUCCUCAAAGCAUCAAUCAUCUACUUCAAGUCUUAAAUUUAAUAUUGGCCAAGGAUGAAGUACAAAUAUAUACAACUUGAAAAUUUGUUUAAAAUAUUUCCCCAAUAAAUGUUCCUGUAUAAUACUCAUUGUAUCCCUCACUAACUUAUAUUCAUACAUGUAAAAAGAUAAUUUGUGAUCAGAUCACAUUGUUGUAUUUUUCAACUUCGGUUGACAAUUACAAAACGUUGAGAAUUUCUUUCAUUUUUGGCGCGUGUUGCCUGUUGACAAGAUUUAUCAGCUUAAUUUAUUGUGUGUUAAAUAUUUUGAUGGUGACUUUGGUGAUCAGAGAUUUCACCAGUAUAAUACACGAUUGUUACUUACCGCUCAAGUUGUCGAACCAGUAUUAGAUAAUAAGUAUUUCAAUAUAACAUCUGAAUGUAUUUUGCCGAGAUUGUGGAACAUGUUACCGAGUGAGUUAAAAAAUCUGAGAGACAAAAGUGAUGUAAAGCGAAAAAUCAAAAAGUGCCUUAUAAACAAUUGAAUCGAACUCUUAUUGACCAUAUUAUACUGCAUAAAUUUCAUAAUUUCAUGAUAAUGUGUCCACGACUGUAUUAAAUUAUGCUGCCUUGUGCAGCUAUGUAUAAGCACCAGCCGUUUAUUCUUCGGAAUUGGCUGGACUUCCAAAGAUUACAUAUAAAUAUUCUUCUUUAAAAAAAAAACUUAUCUUAUAUGAACUAAAACAUUUUGGUACCAUCGCCUUUAAAAGGGUAAACUAACCGUACUCAAAUAUUAUUCAUGUAAAAUUGA